rnacentral:piRNA from 1 species
UGGUCAGUGCACUCAAGUAGAACGGC